UACACUCCUACGGGAGGCAGCAGUGGGGAAUAUUGGACAAUGGGCGCAAGCCUGAUCCAGCCAUGCCGCGUGAGUGAUGAAGGCCCUAGGGUUGUAAAGCUCUUUCACCGGUGAAGAUAAUGACGGUAACCGGAGAAGAAGCCCCGGCUAACUUCGUGCCAGCAGCCGCGGUAAUACGAAGGGGGCUAGCGUUGUUCGGAUUUACUGGGCGUAAAGCGCACGUAGGCGGACUAUUAAGUCAGGGGUGAAAUCCCGGGGCUCAACCCCGGAACUGCCUUUGAUACUGGUAGUCUUGAGUUCGAGAGAGGUGAGUGGAAUUCCGAGUGUAGAGGUGAAAUUCGUAGAUAUUCGGAGGAACACCAGUGGCGAAGGCGGCUCACUGGCUCGAUACUGACGCUGAGGUGCGAAAGCGUGGGGAGCAAACAGGAUUAGAUACCCCUGUAGUCCCA
rnacentral:rRNA from 1 species